CAGGGUUUAAAGGGAGCCGCGGCAGCGUGAGGCAGCGGCCGCCGGUUUGGCUGGAGUGCGGAGCGGUUCUGUGCUGAGCGGUGGCAGCGGCCCCCUCGUGUCCGUGCCCAUGGCGCUGCCGGUGACUCGCCGUGCCCCUAUCACUAGAGGGAUGGAGAAUGCUGUGUCUGACCUUAGAAGUAAAGCAAAAACUCACGUGACUGGCAAAAGGGCUGCUUUGGAAGAAAUAGGAAAUAAAGUUGCAACAAGAGGAACACACAUAUCUAAGAAAACAGAAUGCCCCAAAGCAUCUACAAAGCCUGUGAAAGGACCAAGCAAGGUGACAAAUGGAAUUGUACUGCCUAAAGCUCCAGCUGCUGUAAAUCAAGCAAACAAAGAAACUGAUGUUCCAAAGGUUCUGUCUCCUGUCCCUAUGGAUGUAUCCAUGCAGGAGGAGGAUUUGUGCCAGGCCUUCUCUGAUGUGCUGCUCAACAACGUCGAAGACAUCGAUGCAGAGGACUGGGAGAACCCCCAGCUGUGUAGUGACUACGUGAAAGACAUCUACCUGUACCUGAGGGAGCUCGAGCUGCAGCAGUCUGUCCGUCCGCACUACCUGGACGGGAGGACGAUCAACGGGCGCAUGCGCGCCAUCCUGGUGGACUGGCUCGUGCAGGUGCACUCGAGGUUCCGCCUCCUGCAGGAGACCCUCUACAUGUGUGUGGCCAUCAUGGAUCGCUUCCUGCAGAAUCAUCCAGUACCUCGCAAGAAGCUUCAGCUGGUGGGCGUAACAGCGCUGCUUGUAGCUUCAAAAUAUGAAGAGAUCUUGUCUCCUGAUGUAGCAGACUUUGUUUACAUUACUGACAAUGCCUACACCAGUAAUGAAAUUAGAGAAAUGGAAAUGAUUAUUCUUAAAGAAUUAAACUUCGACCUGGGGCGACCUCUUCCAAUUCAUUUCUUAAGGAGAGCAUCAAAAGCUGGGGAGGCCGAUGCCAAGCAACACACUCUGGCAAAAUAUCUGAUGGAGCUGACCCUGAUAGACUAUGACAUGGUGCACCACCGGCCCUCAGAGAUUGCAGCUGCUGCUCUGUGCCUGUCUCAGAGGAUUCUGGGACAUACCAAAUGGGGUACAAAGCAGCAGUACUACACGGGUUAUGCAGAAGACGGCCUUGUGAUGACCAUGAAACAUAUGGCCAAGAAUGUAGUCAAAGUGAAUGAGAAGUUAACAAAAUACACUGCUAUCAAGAACAAGUAUGCAAGCAGCAAACUACUGACCAUCAGCACCAUCCCUCAGCUGAACAGUGAGAUCAUCAAGGAUCUGGCUGCAUCACUGCUGUGAAGCCCUGGGCAGCCAAGGCCUGAUGGGGUGUGCACUUUGUCUCCUGCUUUUGUACAUAGCAUUCCAGCUCCCACAGACAGAUCCGACUCACACUGAAGCAUCUCUUCAUGAGUGUGCCUGGCUCUGAUGUAGAAGGCAAGAACCCAGCACUACAGAACUGCCCUAGACCUCUCACUGCUCCCCUGUGGGAAGGAUGUUGAAGCUACUGGGUUUUCUUUCCUCAAGCAGGAAAUUUUUCUCUCCACUGGGAUAAGUAAGCCUAGCACUUGCUGCAAACUGUCUUCUGAAACAUGCUGCCUCAUUCCCUGUGUGGAUGUUAUUCCUCCCUUGGAGUAAGGUCCUCAUUUCUGGCUUCCAGAUACAGCUGCUGUAGAAGAUGGAGUUUGUGUACCUAAGUUAGAUUUAGGCAAUGGUUUGGGAGGGAAGGAUUCAAGAUUUUUAGCUGUAUCUUAAAGCUUAUGCAACUUUUAAUACCAGCAUCUGCAGGGCUUUUUAACUGCUCUUAAAUGAGAGAAUGAAAUGCAUGGCACUGCAGCUGGGCAUAGGAAAAGUAAUUUGGUUUGGAGUGAAGAAAGGGAUUCUUUCUUUAGAAGUCAGUGCAGUAAAAUCCUGAAGCCAUUGUAGUCAAGGGAUCUGUUUGUGUAUGUGAGAACAAACUUCACAGAGAACAAACCUGUUGAUCAUCC